ensembl:lncRNA
AUGGAAAUAAAAAACAUUAAGAUGAGAUCUGGAAAUCAGAAUCAAAGCAGUUCUUUACUUGGGAGGGAGUGGGAUCUCUUGUUACAGCCAGGUAGUAGAUGUAAUAUGGUCCUGGUCAGUUCUUUACUUGGGAGGGAGUGGGAUCUCUUGUUACAGCCAGGUAGUAGAUGUAAUAUGGUCCUGGUCAGUUCUUUACUUGGGAGGGAGUGGGAUCUCUUGUUACAGCCAGGUAGUAGAUGUAAUAUGGUCCUGGUCAGUUCUUUACUUGGGAGGGAGUGGGAUCUCUUGUUACAGCCAGGUAGUAGAUGUAAUAUGGUCCUGGUCAGUUCUUUACUUGGGAGGGAGUGGGAUCUCUUGUUACAGCCAGGUAGUAGAUGUAAUAUGGUCCUGGUCAACAUUAGUGACCCCUCCUGUCUCAGCCUCCAGUAUUUAUGCUGCAGUAGUUUGUGUCGGGGGGCUAGGAUCAGUUUGUUAUAUCUGGAGUACUUCUCUUGUCCUAUUCGGUGUCCUGUGUGAAUUUAAGUGUGCUCUCUCUAAUUCUCUCUUUCUCUCUUUCUUUCUCUCUCUCGGAGGACCUGAGCCCUAGGACUACCUGACAUGAUGACUCCUUGCUGUCCCCAGUCCACCUGGCCGUGCUGCUGCUCCAGUUUCAACUGUUCUGCCUUAUUAUUAUUCGACCAUGCUGGACCUGAGCCCUAGGACCAUGCCCCAGGACUACCUGACAUGAUGACUCCUUGCUGUCCCCAGUCCAGCUGGCCGUGCUGCUGCUCCAGUUUCAACUGACCUGAGCCCUAGGACCAUGCCCCAGGACUACCUGACAUGAUGACUCCUUGCUGUCCCCAGUCCACCUGGCUGUGCUGCUGCUCCAGUUUCAACUGUUCUGCCUUAUUAUUAUUUGACCAUGCUGGUCAUUUAUGAACAUUUGAACAUCUUGGCCAUGCUCUGUUAUAAUCUCCACCCGGCACAGCCAGAAGAGGACUGGCCACCCCACAUAUGCUCUCUCUAAUUCUCUCUUUCUUUCUCUCUCUCGGAGGACCUGAGCGCUAGGACCAUGCCCCAGGACUACCUGACACGAUGACUCCUUGCUGUCCCCAGUCCACCUGACCGUGCUGCUGCUCCAGUUUCAACUGUUCUGCCUUAUUAUUAUACGACCAUGCUGGUCAUUUAUGAACAUUUGAACAUCUUGGCCAUGUUCUGUUAUAAUCUCCACCCGGCACAGCCAGAAGAGGACUGGCCACCCCACAUAGCCUGGUUCCUCUCUAGGUUUCUUCCUAGGUUUUGGCCUUUCUAGGGAGUUUUUCCUAGCCACCGUGCUUCUACACCUGCAUUGCUUGCUGUUUGGGGUUUUAGGCUGGGUUUCUGUACAGCACUUUGAGAUAUCAGCUGAUGUACGAAGGGCUAUAUAAAUAAAUUUGAUUUGAUUUGGCUAGACUGUAAACUCUCCUUCCAGACUCAUAUCAAACAUCUCCAAUCGAAAAUCAAAUCAAGAGUCGGCUUUCUAUUCCGCAACAAAGCCUCCUUCACUCACGCCGCCAAACGUACCCUAGUAAAACUGACUAUCCUACCGAUCCUCGACAUCGGCGAUGUCAUCUACAAAAUUGCUUCCAACACUCUACUCAGCAAACUGGAUGCAGUUUAUCACAGUGCCAUCCGUUUUGUCACUAAAGCACCUUAUACCACCCACCACUGCGACUUGUAUGCUCUAGUCGGCUGGCCCUCGCUACAUAUUCGUCGCCAGACCCACUGGCUCCAGGUCAUCUACAAGUCCAUGCUAGGUAAAGCUCCGCCUUAUCUCAGUUCACUGGUCACGAUGGCAACACCCAUCCGUAGCACGCGCUCCAGCAGGUGUAUCUCACUGAUCAUCCCUAAAGCCAACACCUCAUUUGGCCGCCUUUCGUUCCAGUUCUCUGCUGCCUGUGACUGGAACGAAUUGCAAAAAUCGCUGAAGUUGGAGACUUUUAUCUCCCUCACCAACUUCAAACAUCUGCUAUCUGAGCAGUUAACCGAUCGCUGCAGCUGUACAUAGUCUAUCGGUAAAUAGCCCACCCAUUUUUACCUACCUCAUCCCCAUACUGUUCUUAUUUAUUUACUUUUCUGCUCCUUUGCACACCAAUAUCUCUACCUGUACAUUACCAUCUGAUCAUUUAUCACUCCAGUGUUAUUAAUCUGCAAAAUUGUAAUUAUUCGCCAACCACCUCAUGCCUUUUGCACACAAUGUAUAUAGACUCCCCUUUUUUUCUACUGUGUUAUUGACUUGUUAAUUGUUUACUCCAUGUGUAACUCUG